GAGAAAACGGGAAGAAGAAAGAAAGAAACGAGUCGCUCUCGCUCGCCACGGCUAACCAGGAGUAUUCACCCUCUUCCUAAAGGCAAAAGAAAGAUGCAAGGAAGGAAGCUUCCGUCAGAUCCAAUCGCCUGUCGGCGCAGCGGAGCGCUGCAAAUUUGCAAACUUGCUGCAUUUGCAAUCGCAGAGGAGGAGGCAAAGGAAAAGGAGGAGGGCUGUUUCUGUUUGUUUGGUCGUCGGCUCGGCUCGGCUCGGCUCCUCCGCCUAAUCGUAAUUGGUUUGUUGGGCUUGGUCGCGGUCGUAUAUAGCCCGGCGUCCGUCUACUCAAAGGCGACUCCUUUCCUUACCAAACUGCGAUUUUUCUGCAACCUCCUCCUCCUCCCAUCGCCCGCCGCCCAGAUCUCUGCUGCAGUCAUGGCGUUCGACGCCUUCACCGACAAGAACGCCCUCUUCCGCCGCCUCAAGGCCAAGCCCGAGAACAAGAUGUGCUUCGACUGCAGCGCCAAGAACCCCACCUGGGCCUCCGUCACCUACGGCAUCUUCCUCUGCCUCGACUGCUCCGCCGUCCACCGCAGCCUCGGCGUCCACAUCACCUUCGUCAGGUCAACAAACCUAGAUUCAUGGACUCCAGAUCAACUGAAGAUGAUGGCUUUUGGAGGCAACAAUCGUGCACAUGCUUUCUUUAAACAGCACGGUUGGACAGAUGGUGGCAAGGUCGAGGCAAAGUACACAUCAAGGGCUGCUGAAUUGUACAGGCAGAUACUGCAAAAGGAAGUUGCCAAGAGUUCUGCUGAUAAUGUCUUGCCAUCAUCGCCGGUUGCAGCAUCUCAACCACAAAAUCCAUCCGAUGACUUUCCUGAAUUCAAGUUACCAGAUGCACCGGCAGAGAAUACCAAUGGGAAGCAAGAACCAGAUGUCGCCACAAAAGCACCUACCCAGACACCAAAAGCCCCUACGCAUCCCACCUUCGCCACUUCUGUAAAGAAACCCAUUGGUGCGAAGAAGGUUGGAGGCAAGACUGGAGGGCUUGGUGUUAAAAAACUCACUACAAAGCCAAGUGAAAGCCUGUAUGAUCAGAAACCUGAAGAGCCAAAACCUGCUGUCCCAGCAAUGACUACAUCUGCCACGAAAAGCGGCCCAUCGUUGCAUUCACGUUUUGAAUAUGUGGAGAAUGAGCCAGCAGUUGAUUCAAGAAAUGGAGGAACUCAAUUGUCUGGUCACGUGGCACCACCGAAAUCAUCAAACUUCUUUCAAGAGUACGGAAUGGAUAAUGGGUUCCAAAAGAAAACUAGCACAGCUGCCUCAAAGACCCAGAUUCAGGAGACUGAUGAAGCAAGGAAAAAAUUCUCCAACGCAAAGGCAAUUUCAUCAUCUCAGUUUUUUGGUAAUCAAAGCAGAGAAGAGAAAGAAGCUCAAAUGUCACUUCAAAAGUUUGCGGUGCGUGUUGGUUUAGCAUCACUUAGUCUGAGGACCAUUACAUCUCCUCUUUGAACUUUUUGAAGUGAAUUCAUAAUUUCAUUGCAUUGCAAACCUGAAAUUUCCUGUCUACAGCUUAUGUGUUUUUGUGCUUAAACUUCAUUUGAAUAUUCUGGAAAAGCUUGCCUUUUUAACUUGCAUUUCGCCUGUUGUUUCAAUUCAGGGUUCUUCAUCCAUCUCAAGCGCUGAUCUCUUUGGCCGCCGUGACAUGGAUGAUUCGAAUCUGGACUUAAGCGCUGCGGAUCUCAUCAAUAGAAUAUCGUUCCAGGCUACUCAAGAUCUGUCGUCCCUCAAGAACAUGGCUGGAGAAACUGGAAAGAAGCUGACCUCUAUUGCCUCCAAUUUCAUCAGUGACCUCGACAGAAUCCUUUGAGCGGUUGAUGGACUGAGAUCGUUAGCAUUUUUUGUUUUGGCAAACCUGCACAGAAUACCGCUUCAAGUUUAAAAUUUGGUGCACCUCCGACCAUUUCAAAGCAUUUGUUGCACAGCUAUGUAGAGGAUAGUAGAUGAUUGGCAAUUAUGCAUCUGUAAUCUUUUUUCCUUUUUAUUAUUGUUGAAACCCUGUCCACAUGAAGAUAUUUUUAUUCAUUUCUUGACAAGAUUGAAACAUACGAUGGUAUUCAUUCCAGCUAGUCGUAUCUGGAAAGAAGAAUUGCUUUGAUGUGCCUGUGCUAAAUGGAAAGAGUCAGGCUAUUUCUCACU